AGCGAACGCUGGCGGCAGGCCUAACACAUGCAAGUCGAACGAACUCUUCGGAGUUAGUGGCGGACGGGUGCGUAACACGUGGGAACGUGCCUUUUGGUUCGGAAUAACUCAGGGAAACUUGUGCUAAUACCGAAUGUGCCCUUCGGGGGAAAGAUUUAUCGCCAUUAGAUCGGCCCGCGUCUGAUUAGCUAGUUGGUGAGGUAACGGCUCACCAAGGCGACGAUCAGUAGCUGGUCUGAGAGGAUGACCAGCCACACUGGGACUGAGACACGGCCCAGACUCCUACGGGAGGCAGCAGUGGGGAAUCUUGCGCAAUGGGCGAAAGCCUGACGCAGCCAUGCCGCGUGAAUGAUGAAGGUCUUAGGAUUGUAAAAUUCUUUCACCGGGGACGAUAAUGACAGUACCCGGAGAAGAAGCCCCGGCUAACUUCGUG
rnacentral:rRNA from 1 species